CUCUACAUUUCUCUCCACGAGCUGGGCGUGGCUGACUCCCUAUCUCCUGAUUCUGAGUUGCCCUUGAUCUUGGGUCCCACCCUGUUCUUGUCUCAAGCAGUCACUUUGGAAUGUGUUUCCCUCCUCCAAGAUUGAAGGAUUAGUCAUGAAAAUCGUCACUCGCCUUCUGCCCUUGCUCAAGGGUGCGUUGGUUAUUCCAUCGUUCCACCUGUAUUUUCAAGGGCUGUCUGUUGGAAAAUGGCUUCUUUAGGGCUUUCCCUCUUCUCCAUGCUUUCCUGGACGACUGCUGGGUUUUGGGUGGGAGGAGAGCAGCUUCAGACGUGGAGAUAUGACUGAUAAAGCUCUCACCAUUUUUGCAGAAGUCAUGCAUUCCAUUCAAGGAGAUCCAUGCUCUAGCCUCCGGACAUUUCCCCUGGCUGCAGGUGCCUGCAUCUGCGUAGGUUAUCAAAGCACUUUGUGACUAUGGAGGAAGGUGCCAGAAGCAGAACAUGGGUCUAGCAGACUCACGGGCAUGGAACUGGUAUGGUGGUGUUGUGGAAAUCAGGAAAGGACAAGAAUGGGAAAAGGAAACCUGGUUGUUUACGAGUAAGAUAGCCGGUGAGGCUGGUUCCCUGAGGAUGUGGCAUGCACAGCCACGGGAAAUACAGACAGAUAGGGAGCUCCACCCCCAUGUAGAGCGCCAUUCAAUUGGACCAAUGAGCUCCCACCAGCUAAGGUGCCAAUCAACAGAGACUACCAGGGUUCAACCAAUGACCAAAGGACAGGGAUCCAGCUGGGAGGACUUAAACCAGGGGGAAUGUUACUGACAGCCCUCCAGAGCCACACUGUUGGUGGAGUCCGCUCCAUUCUCUAUGGAGUGUAUUCUCUUUACUAAAUAUACUGUACUUUGCUUUUCACCUCUGGCGUGUCUCCUCCAAUUCAUCAAGAACCCGGACGUAGCUGGCAAAACCUGCAGUUUCCCACAACAUAUUGGUUUCCUGACUGGGAAACCCGCAGUUUUCCCACAACAGUGACACCAUGUCCCAUGUUCUUCAAGAAAUGUCUAGACUAGAUGACUUCAUUGGAGAUCUGGCACAAUGCCUUUGUCACACACAGGGGCAAAUUGUGAUCCAGACAGAGGAAGUGACUGGCCCAGGUCAUUCAGCAAGCUGGUGACGAGCUGACACCGAGUUUAUUCAUUUAUUGCACACAUUUCUUGAGGGCCUGCUGUGUGCCAGGCACUGUUCUAGGCACUGGGGAUACAGCUGUGGAUGAAACGAGGUGCCGGUGUGGCGCUUGUAUCUGCUGAUGUGUAUGGGGGAGACUGUGGGUAAACGAAUACACACCCCAUAAUGCAUGUAGUUAGACGUACUGUGAUGUUCUUGUGCUUCCUUUCCUCUGUUUUGGAGGGAAUGGGUUUGAGGAAGAGAUGUUCACUCACACAUUCGCUCAUUAAAUAAAUAUUAGUGGAUGUCUUGCUGGGUGCCAUGGGGGGCACACAGAAGAGCAGGAUCUGCCUUCAAAAGUUUGCCACUCAAUUGGGCAGAUAAGGCAUGCCUCUGAGCAUCUUUGCAUGUACUUGUACCAUUUUUCCGCUCAUUGUCAUCCUCUCCUGAUCUCUGCUGAAAAGAAGGCUUGCAGGAAACUCUGAUUCUGAAAUGGUGCAAAUCCCUUCCCCAAAAGGCACCACAAAGUCAGCUGCUGCUACUGACUUAUUGAUGGGCAUAUCCAGUGGCCUUGGGGAGGCGGUGGGCAGCCCAGCCAUGGCCUGUAAUAAGGAGAGACAACUCAGCAUCCUCCCUGCAGUGAAUAAUAGAACAAAAAGCUGCCAGUGUCUGCAGGAUCAAAGCGCAUGAACAAUCACAGCGUCUCUGGGUUAAAUAGAUCAGCAGAGGAGGCUGGGGUGGCUGGUGGAUGCCAUCGAACUUUCUGGGAGUGCAGUUUGGGCUGCAGAGGAACCUUCAGCUGGAGAGAAGAUUUCUUACCUUACAAGAUGUUCUCCUGUGGCUCUCUCCUGUUAACCUCCCGUGGAGAUGGGGGGCUCUUCCUCCAUCCUUUCUCUCCACCACCCCUACCCCUAGAGCCGAAAAAGAUGAGGCAGUUCUAGAAGACCCUGGCUGUGUGUGGUGCUCUGGGGAGCUUUCUCAGUCAGGAAGACCCCUAAGGUCCUUGGCAGGCUCUCAGAACCACACCCUGACUGCUGUUGUGAAAGUGUGUGUGUGCACGUGUGUGCGCACAGCGUCCCAAGUCAGCCUGAGGCCCGAGUCCUGAGCCUUUUGUUUUUCAUCCUGAGUCAGCCCGUGGGGGAGCAGCCUCCACUUCUCUGCCUUUGAGUUCGCCUGCCCCAGGGACCAUGGGCUGCCACCUCCACCACCACAGCAGCCAACACUUUACAUGCACUUCCUCUCUGCUGUGCUCUAUUCUAAAUGCUUAAGGUUGAUUGAAUCUUUACAACAACCCUAGGAAUUGUUCCAAUUCACAGGUAAGAAAACUGAGGCCCAGAGGAGUUUAAUAACUUGCCCAAGUAAGUGAGGGCAAAGAACUUUGGGUUUGGUGGUAGAUUCACACUUGUGUCAGCUGCAACUGGGAAAUGUCUCUUUUCUGAGGGUUCCAUUAAGGACUGUGUCCCAAGUCAUGGCUGGACUCAGUCAUUGGCUUUGUAGAUUACUGGGCUGUGGUGUCCAAAGCUAGAACAUCAGCGUACUGCUUGAAGAAGUAAGAGCAGGACGGGAUGAGAUGGGGGCAACAUGGGUUCACGGUGUCAUCCCCUUCAUCCUCCACUGCUUGUUUUGAUUGAGGAAUAUUUCAUUCAUUGGGGAGUAUUUUAUAUACCAUAAAAUACACACAUUUUAAGUGUACAGAAUGAUAAGAUUUGACAAAUAUAUUGUCAUAUAACCGCCACCCCAAUUAAGAAAUGAACAUUUGCAUCACCACAGAAAGUUUCCUUGUGGAUGGUAAGUCCCCCUUACCAUCAAUCCCCAUCUCCACCCCAGAAACCCCGAUCCUAUUUUUAACACUAUAGAUUAAUUUUGUGUGUUCUCAAACUUUGUGUACAUGGAAAUAUAUAUUAUGUACUUUUUUGUAUAUCUGGCUUUUUUUACUCAGUGUAACGUUUUGAGAUUCAUGCAUGUGGUUCAUCCUUUUUUUUUUUAUUGCUGAGUAAUAUUCCAUUGUAUGGAUGUACCACAGUUUGUUUAUGAAUGUACCUGUUAGUAGAGAUUUAGGUUGUUUACAGUCUUGUACUAUUACAAAUAAAUUUGCUAUGAACAUUUGUAUGGAAGUCUUUGUGUGGACAUGUGUUUUCAUUUCUCUUGGACAAAUACCUGGUAGUUGAUGGCUAGGUUGUAUGGCAGGUGUAUUUUCAACUUUUAAGAAACUGCAAAGCUCUUUUCCAAAGUGGUUGUACUAUUUUACUCUCCCACCAGCAGGAUGUGGGAGUUCUAGUUGCCCCACAUCCUCACCAACACUUGGUAUUGUCUGUUUUUAAUGAUUUUGCUGUUCUAUUGGGCAUGAAGUAGUGUCUCAUUGUGGUUUUAAUUUGUUUCCCUGACAACUAAAGAUGUUGAAUUUCUUUUAAUGUGCUUAUUGGACAUAUUUGUACCAUCUUUUGUGAAUUAAUUAAGUCUUGCCAGUUUUUAAAUUGGGUUGUUUGUUUUCUUGUUGUUGAAUUCUAAGAGUUUCUUCUGUAUUCUGGAUAUGAAUCUUGUGUUAGAUGUAUAAAUUGUGAGUAUUUUUUCCCAGUCUGUGGCUUGUCUUUUCAUUUUUAAAAUGAUGCCUUUUGAAGAUCAGAAGUCUUAACUUUUGAUUAAGUCUAAUUGUUGAUUGUUUUCUUUUGUGUUUUAUGCUUUUAGUGUGCUAAAAAAUCUUUGCCUACCCCAAGGUCACUAAUAUUUCUCCUGUAUCUUAUGGUCUUAGCUUUUAUGUUUAGGGCUAUGAUCUAUUUUGAAUCAAUUUUUGUGUAGAGUUUGAGAUAGGGGUUGGGUUGGGUUCAUUUUUUUUCCCCAUAUGCAUAUGCAGUUGCUUCAUCACUACCUGUUGAAAAGACAAUCAUUUUCCUAUUGAAUUACUUUGCACCCUUGUCAAAAAUAAAUUGAUAAUAUAA